UACGAAGGGGGCUAGCGUUGCUCGGAAUCACUGGGCGUAAAGGGUGCGUAGGCGGGUCUUUAAGUCAGGGGUGAAAUCCUGGAGCUCAACUCCAGAACUGCCUUUGAUACUGAAGAUCUUGAGUUCGGGAGAGGUGAGUGGAACUGCGAGUGUAGAGGUGAAAUUCGUAGAUAUCCGCAAGAACACCAGUGGCGAAGGCGGCUUACUGGUCCGGUUCUGACGCUGAGGCGCGAAAGCGUGGGGAGCAAACAGG
rnacentral:rRNA from 1 species